GCCUAGUCACGGUUGACACUUGUUGCAUUUCUAUGCAAAGUUUCACAUAAUACCCAUUCAUUCUAGUCAGUUCAGUAAAUUGGUAUACGAACGUAAAAGUCUGGGACAAUCAUUUGAUACGUCAAUCGUCACGAUAUAAACUAAUUAAGCGUACACGAAUACAUGUAAUUCUGACUUCUCGAAUCUCAGACGCGCGAUCAUUGACUCAUGAGUAGCAUCGAUAAAUAAUGAACUGAUUAUGAAGCAAAAAGAGAACCUCAUUAAUUGAGCACAGCGAUUCAGAUCUUUGUGUUCCAGAGACACGUUUGCAGCCCAAUAAAUAUUAGACUGGAUAUCUAAUCUUCAGUGUUAUGAAAGUCACGUUGAGCUGCUUAUGAAAGCACUCAUGAUACGAGGUACGGGGUAUCAGACACGGAGCCAGUAGUUGCACGGAACACAGAAUGCCGUGAAAACAACGACCGAGAUUACCGGGGUGUUAGUUUCCUGCACGGAGGGAAAGG
rnacentral:lncRNA from 1 species